rnacentral:rRNA from 1 species
GUCGAGAAUCUUUCACAAUGGGGGCAACCCUGAUGGAGCGACGCCGCGUGGAGGAUAAGGUCUUCGGAUUGUAAACUCCUGUCAUGCGUGAACAAGGUUGCUUGGUUAAUACCUGGGCAAAUUGAUGGUAACGCAAGAGGAAGAGACGGCUAACUCUGUGCCAGCAGCCGCGGUAAUACAGAGGUCUCAAGCGUUGUUCGGAAUCACUGGGCGUAAAGGGUGCGUAGGUGGCGUGGUAAGUCAGAGGUGAAAGCCCGGGGCUCAACCUCGGAACUGCAUCCGAUACUGCCAUGCUAGAGUACUGGAGAGGUGACUAGAAUUCUCGGUGUAGCAGUGAAAUGCGUAGAUAUCGAGAGGAAUACCAAAGGCGUAGGCAGGUCACUGGACAGUUACUGACACUGAGGCACGAAGGCCAGGGGAGCGAACGGGAUUAGAUACCCCGGUAGUCC